AGAAUGAACGCUGGCGGCGUGCUUACACAUGCAAGUCGAACGAGAAAUCUUUAGCUCGCUAGAGAAAGUAAAGUGGCGCACGGGUGAGUAACGCGUGGGUAAUCUGCCUCCGAAUCGGGGAUAACAUUGCGAAAGCGAUGCUAAUACCGGAUAAAAUCUGGUUGGCUUCGGUGAACCGGAUCAAAGGUGGUCUCUUUAUAAAAGCUACCGUUUGGAGACGAACUCGCGUACCAUUAGCUAGUUGGUGAGGUAAAGGCUCACCAAGGCGACGAUGGUUAGCUGGUCUGAGAGGAUGAUCAGCCACACCAGAACUGGAACACGGUCCGGACUCCUACGGGAGGCAGCAGUGAGGAAUUUUGCGCAAUGGGGGAAACCCUGACGCAGCAACGCCGCGUGAGUGAUGAAGGCUUUCGGGUCGUAAAGCUCUGUCAGGUGGGAAGAACCCACCAAGUGUUAGGACCACUUGGUGCUGACGGUACCACCGAAGGAAGCACCGGCUAACUCCGUGCCAGCAGCCGCGGUAAUACGGGGGGUGCGAGCGUUAUUCGGAAUCAUUGGGCGUAAAGGGCGCGCAGGCGGUUUUGUAAGUUAGAAGUGUAAUCCACGGGCUUAACCCGUGACUCGCUUUUAAUACUGCUUUUCUUGAGUAUGGGAGAGGGAGAUGGAAUUCCAGGUGUAGCGGUGGAAUGCGUAGAUAUCUGGAAGAACACCAGUAGCGAAGGCGGUCUCCUGGCCCAAUACUGACGCUGAGGCUCGAAAGCGUGGGGAGCGAACAGGAUUAGAUACCCUGGUAGUCCACGCCGUAAACGAUGGACACUAGAUGUUGGCCUCUUCGGGGGUCGGUGUCGUAGCUAACGCGUUAAGUGUCCCGCCUGGGAAGUACGCUCGCAAGAGUGAAACUCAAAGGAAUUGACGGGGGCCCGCACAAGCGGUGGAGCAUGUGCUUUAAUUCGAUGCAACGCGAAGAACCUUACCUGGACUUGACAUGGGGGUGAAAGUUUUCAGAGAUGAAAACCCUUCCUUCGGGAACGCCCUACACAGGUGCUGCAUGGUUGUCGUCAGCUCGUGUCGUGAGAUGUUGGGUUAAGUCCCGCAACGAGCGCAACCCUUGUCCUUAGUUGCCAGCGGGUCAUGCCGGGAACUCUAGGGAGACUGCCUGGUACAACCAGGAGGAGGGUGGGGAUGACGUCAAAUCAUCAUGGCCCUUACGUCCAGGGCUAGACACGUGCUACAAUGGCCGGUACAGAGGGCUGCAAGACUGCGAAGUCAAGCCAAUCCCUAAAAACCGGUCUCAGUUCGGAUUGGAGUCUGCAAUUCGACUCCAUGAAGGUGGAAUCGCUAGUAAUCGCGGAUCAGCAUGCCGCGCUGAUACGUUCCCGGGCCUUGUACACACCGCCCGUCAAGCCACGAAAGAUGGCAGUGCCCGAAGUCGCUACUCAUAACCCUCACGGGAGGAGAGCGCCGAAG
rnacentral:rRNA from 1 species